rnacentral:rRNA from 1 species
GAUGAACGCUAGCUACAGGCUUAACACAUGCAAGUCGCGGGGCAGCAUGGGGGUUGCUUGCAAUCCCCGAUGGCGACCGGCGCACGGGUGAGUAACGCGUAUCCAACCUGCCCUUCACCACGGGAUAACCCGGCGAAAGUCGGACUAAUACCGUAUGUUGUCCAUUGACGGCAUCCGAUUUGGACGAAAGGUUUGGCGGUGAAGGAUGGGGAUGCGUCCGAUUAGCUGGACGGCGGGGUGACGGCCCACCGUGGCGACGAUCGGUAGGGGUUCUGAGAGGAAGGUCCCCCACACUGGAACUGAGACACGGUCCAGACUCCUACGGGAGGCAGCAGCGAGGAAUAUUGGUCAAUGGGCGUAAGCCUGAACCAGCCAAGUAGCGUGCAGGAUGACGGCCCUAUGGGUUGUAAACUGCUUUUAUGCGGGGAUAAAGUGGCCCACGUGUGGGUUUUUGCAGGUACCGCAUGAAUAAGGACCGGCUAAUUCCGUG